GAUGAACGCUGGCGGUAUGCUUAACACAUGCAAGUCGAACAGUCUUUUCGGAGACAGUGGCGGACGGGUGAGUAACGCGUAAGAAUCUACCUUCAGGUCGGGGACAACCACUGGAAACGGUGGCUAAUACCGGAUGUGCCGAGAGGUGAAAGGCUUGCUGCCUGAAGAAGAGCUUGCGUCUGAUUAGCUAGUUGGUGGUGUAAGAGACUACCAAGGCGACGAUCAGUAGCUGGUCUGAGAGGAUGAUCAGCCACACUGGGACUGAGACACGGCCCAGACUCCUACGGAGGCAGCAGU
rnacentral:rRNA from 1 species